UACGUAGGGUCCGAGCGUUGUCCGGAAUUACUGGGCGUAAAGAGCUCGUAGGUGGUUUGUCGCGUUGUUCGUGAAAACUCACAGCUCAACUGUGGGCGUGCGGGCGAUACGGGCAGACUUGAGUACUGCAGGGGAGACUGGAAUUCCUGGUGUAGCGGUGGAAUGCGCAGAUAUCAGGAGGAACACCGGUGGCGAAGGCGGGUCUCUGGGCAGUAACUGACGC
rnacentral:rRNA from 1 species